CACGGCCCCCCACCAACAACCCACCUGGGAGACAUUCCUGCAGUCCCGGAACAGGAACUCCAAGCCAUGAGGAUGAGUCGGCUCCACUGACUGACUGACAUCAAUCAGCCAGACCUGUGAGACACAGAACACACCGGUGUAAGGACACAGUGCAGGCGCAGCACCACUUGGCCUCCUCCCCAGCUACCGACCUCCCAGCGGAGCCAGCGAAUGGACCUGAGUAUCCUUCUGGCAGGGAAAGGUGUCUCCUCCCCAGCCUCAUCCGGCACCUUCUCCUGGGGAACCUUCCCAUUCGCCCCAGCUGCUCUUGGCAGCAGCACCAUGCACACGUGAGACGCAGUCCCUCGCAAUCAGGCCGAGCAGUGCAGAGCCGUGAGCUCAGCACUGCCUGAAGCUCCGAGGCCGUGGGUGACAUGCACUUGCUGUGCCCCCAUGGGUGGCUCUCCACUGCAGGGCGGGCUCCUAACAGCUGCACCCCUCUCCUCCCUGCCCCGUCUCACAACAGAUAAAACCUCAGCCUCCCUUCACUGUCACCCACGGAGUACAGACUGAGAAACACCACGUGGGCCACGUGCAGUGCCGCCAGUUUGACUGCAGGAAGUUUUGUGAAAAACAGCUUCAUGUUUUAAGUCACUAAGGUGAACCACGAAGCUUUCUCUUGCUCUAAGGAGUCUUAAAUUUUGUAAAACCACUCCAGGCCACGAAUUUACCUAAAGAGAACUCUUGUUACCUUCUUUCACAAACUUUGGUUUGUCAUUAACACCUUGAAAUACUACUACUUCAGGGGCUGGAGAUUUAGCUCAGCGGCAUAAGCACUUGCCUUGCAAGCAGGCAGUCGUGAGUUCGAUUCCCAGUACCGAUAAAAAGGAAAAAGACAAAAAAAAAAAAAAAAAAGAAAUACUACUACUUCAGGGAAAUUUUUUACAGCUUAGAGGAUGCUGGGCGGGGAGAGGGGGGGUCUCACAGUGUUGCCUUGGCUGGUCUUAAAUUCCAGUCAAGUGAUUCUCCUGCCUCAGCCUCCUGAGUAGCUUGGACUAUAGGAGUUUGCCAUCACACAUGGCGAGAACAAAUAUUUUGAAAGUUGGUGCGUGAGUGCUUUUCAAGGCACGACUUACAUGAAGUGUUUGAUAGUAGGCUUCUUUCAUUUCUUCACUACUGAGCUUUACUUCUUUUAAUUUAGGGGCUGGAACUUGAUCGUGGCCAAUAAAAGACAUCACUAAAAUAUGUUUCUUAAGAAGUACAACUGUUGGACAAGGAAUUCCAGCUUUCUGCAUUCUACACAGAAAUAAACAAUCAAGAAUAUAAAGAUCAGAAGGAGAAAAUGUCACUUCGUCAACAAAUACCUAACCUGAGCUGGCACAAUGUUCUACCCGGGCAGUGUCUCUCCACACACACAGCGAGACAAGUGUCUGCCCACUGAGAAGCCAUGGACAGGUGGAAGGACAGUCACAUGAGGGACAUGGAGAGGACAGUGUGACAACUGCCUGCGCAGAGGUGUGGGCCAGUGCCACGGGAGCGCCUAGCACCACAGAGGGCUUUCCAGGGAGACCAAAGACAGGAAGCACAGCGGGUAUUCAGAGCACAGGCCCCUUAGGGGACAGAGGUGUCAGCACACUGGGCCCCAGGAGAGGGUCAGGUGACGGGAACUGAGGCCUGGGGUGGGAGGGAGCUCCAGGUCAUGAGUCCCUCCGUUCACACUAAACACUGUGGAAAGCUGACAAGGGGCCCGCAGUCUAGAAAUGAGAGGGCAGCAAGACCACUGAGAGUUAUUCUAGAAGGUUCUAAGGAGAAGAAUUUUGCAACUAAUACAUACAAUUACUUUUGAAAGCAAACAUCUUUAGAAAACAAUAAACUGAAACUAUGUUUUCAACAGCUAAUGAGAAGAUUUAUUAAUAAUAGUUUAUAAUUCAAUUUCUUAGUUGAUAAAAGACAUUCCUUCAUAGGAAAGAAACUUUGUACAGAACUGAGAAGUCCAAUACAGCGAACUGCAAUUUGAUUGGUUAAGACCAUAUCCCAUUAAAUUAACAAAUUAUGAGGCCAGAAGGGAAUUCACUAUUUGUGCCAAGCUUAACUGGAAGCUAGACAUUUUAAUUCUCGGACAAUUUAAAAGAACAAUUAGAAUGAUGAUAUAUCUAGGCAGAAAAUGCCUAAAUUUCCCCUCAAAUCAGAGAAAAGAAAAAAGACAAUGGCCUUUUCAUUCUGAAAUUCAGCUUAAAUACAUGGAAAUAUUUUCUUAGGAAGGCCUCAUGAAGCACUAGAACUUCAAGUCCUUCUGUUAUUUCAAUAGGUGAAUAGAAAAGAAAGCAUGAAUUUUUUUGCCCAGCUGGCAGUCCUAGUACAAAAAGGCCAAGAUUCCGUCUAACACACAAUUUUCUUUACCUUGUAAGAUUGUGCAUUUCUUUUUCUGCCCACAUGCGGAUGAUCUUACGUGGAUUUAGUUUACUGAAGCGAUCUUUAAACCUGAAAUCAUCUUUAAUGUAUUUGUCACGAUUCUUAAACUCAUUAAGGGUUGUUUUAAAUACCUUGAUGGCACAUUCUGUAGGUAUAGCUUUAACGUCUUCCUUUCCAUC